GACGAACGCUGGCGGCAUGCCUAAUACAUGCAAGUCGAGCGAACAGAUGAAGUGCUUGCACUUCUGACGUUAGCGGCGAACGGGUGAGUAACACGUAAGGAAUCUACCUAUAAGCGGGGGAUAACAUUCGGAAACGGGUGCUAAUACCGCAUAAUAUCUUCUUCCGCAUGGAAGAAGAUUGAAAGACGGCUCUGCUGUCACUUAUAGAUGACCUUGCGGUGCAUUAGUUAGUUGGUGGGGUAACGGCCUACCAAGACGAUGAUGCAUAGCCGAACUGAGAGGGUGAUCGGCAACAUUGGGACUGAGACACGGCCCAAACUACUACGGGAGGCAGCAGUAGGGCAUCUUCCGCAAUGGGCGAAAGCCUGACGGAGCAAUGCCGCGUGAGUGAAGAGGGCCUUCGGGUCGUAAAACUCUGUUAUAAGAGAAGAACAAAUUGUAGAGUAACUGCUACAGUCUUGACGGUAUCUUAUCAGAAAGCCACGGCUAACUACGUGCCAGCAGCCGCCGUAA
rnacentral:rRNA from 1 species